rnacentral:rRNA from 1 species
UGAUCCUGGCUCAGGAUGAACGCUGGCGGUAUGCUUAACACAUGCAAGUCGAACGGAAUCUUCGGAUUUAGUGGCGGACGGGUGAGUAACGCGUGAGAAUCUACCAUCAGGUCUGGGACAACCAGUGGAAACGGUGGCUAAUACCAGAUGUGCCGAAAGGUGAAAGGUUAACUGCCUGUUGAUGAGCUCGCGUCUGAUUAGCUAGUUGGUAGAGUAAGAGCCUACCAAGGCGACGAUCAGUAGCUGGUCUGAGAGGACGAUCAGCCACACUGGGACUGAGACACGGCCCAGACUCCUACGGGAGGCAGCAGUGGGGAAUUUUCCGCAAUGGGCGAAAGCCUGACGGAGCAAUACCGCGUGAGGGAGGAAGGCUCUUGGGUCGUAAACCUCUUUUCUCAGGGAAGAAAAAAAUGACGGUACCUGAGGAAUAAGCAUCGGCUAACUCCGUGCCAGCAGCCGCGGUAAUACGGAGGAUGCAAGCGUUAUCCGGAAUGAUUGGGCGUAAAGCGUCCGCAGGUGGCUAUGUAAGUCUGCUGUUAAAUAGUGAGGCUCAACCUCAUAAAGGCAGUGGAAACUACAUGGCUAGAGUGCGUUCGGGGCAGAGGGAAUUCCUGGUGUAGCGGUGAAAUGCGUAGAGAUCAGGAAGAACACCGGUGGCGAAAGCGCUCUGCUAGGCCGCAACUGACACUGAGGGACGAAAGCUAGGGGAGCGAAUGGGAUUAGAUACCCCAGUAGU